rnacentral:rRNA from 1 species
UACAGAGGGUGCGAGCGUUGUCCGGAAUCACUGGGCGGAAAGGGCGCGUAGGCGGCUUGAUAAGCGUGCGGUGAAAGCCCGGGGCUCAACCCCGGGUCGGCCGUGCGAACUGUCGAGCUGGAGCACUGUAGAGGCAGGUGGAAUUCCGGGUGUAGCGGUGGAAUGCGUAGAGAUCCGGAAGAACACCGGUGGCGAAGGCGGCCUGCUGGGCAGUGGCUGACGCUGAGGCGCGACAGCGUGGGGAGCAAACAGG